rnacentral:rRNA from 1 species
UACGUAGGGGGCAAGCGUUGUCCGGAAUCAUUGGGCGUAAAGAGCGUGUAGGCGGCCCGAUAAGUCCGCCGUGAAAGUCCAGGGCUCAACCCUGGAAUGCCGGUGGAAACUGUCGGGCUGGAGUCCGGAAGAGGCGAGUGGAAUUCCUGGUGUAGCGGUGAAAUGCGCAGAUAUCAGGAGGAACACCAGUAGCGAAGGCGGCUCGCUGGGCCACACCUGACGCUGAGACGCGAAAGCUAGGGGAGCGAACAGG